AAAGAAAAGACACUUACGUUUUGUUGUACUUAUUCGGGUUUCUAUCUGAUUUUUAUUAACCUUCUUCCUUCCUUCUUUUUUAGUACAGAACCCAAAUAAUUAGGUCACGAUUGGAAUCCUGUCAAUCUCACUUUCUCGAUUUCUAUAUUCGAUUGCUUCACAAAGUAUACCUGAUUCGAAUUCAAUCUGAUGUUCUGCAAACCCACUAAAUCAAUUCGUUGAAUUCACUCUCGGAUCUUGUACGUUGGUUGGUAUCUGUGGAUGUUAUAAAAGUAUAAUCUUUUAAAACCAAAUAAAGAUAAGUUCAAUUUUGAAUUUCUUUCCAUAACUUACAAUAUUCUCUUUACAUACCCAUACACUAAUAUAUGUUCUUUCAAGGUUUACGACGAUUGAACAGAAAGCCGGACUUAUAACAUCAAAAAUUACAGUCAACUAAAAGCAAACACUGAUUACGUCUUACACGGUUAGCAAGUAGCAAAUCAGGGCUAUUCAUACAACAACGUUUGGUGAAACCUUUGACAUGAUACUCGGUGAUGCCAAAGGUACAAAAUUCACCCUUAUGUGAAAACGGAUAUGAUGAACCGGUUCCUCAAAUUCAAGAGGAGAAGUCUUGCAAUUUAAAUUUGAAUUCAAUAUUCGAAUGUACCAUCUGAUUUUACAUGAAAUGUUGAGAUUAGAGGUUAGAAGCAACUCUGACCUCCUUAUCCUU